GCCGCUGUGGUGGAAUCGGCAGACACAAGGGACUUAAAAUCCCUCGAAGUAACAUUCGUACCGGUUCAAGUCCGGUCAGCGGCACCA
rnacentral:tRNA from 1 species